rnacentral:rRNA from 1 species
UUACGCUGUUAUCCCUAAGGUAACUUAGUCUAAUAAUCAAUAAUAAUGGAUCUAAUAUUCAUAAAUCAAUGUUAUCUAAAUAAAAAAGUUAAAUAUAUAUUUUUGUCACCCCAACAAAACACAAAGAAAUAUAAAAAUAUUAAUAUAUAAAUAUUUAAAUAAAAUUAUGUAAAGAUCUAUAGGGUCUUCUCGUCUUCCAAUAGAAUUUUAGCUUUUUAACUAAAAAAUUAAAUUUUAAAACAAAUAAAAUGAGACAGUCAGUUCCUCGUUAAACCUUUCAUUCCAGCCCUCUAUUAAAAGACUAAUGAUUAUGCUACCUUUGCACGGUCAGUAUACCGCGGCCGUUAAAAUCCUCACUGGGCAGGUCAGACCUUCAAUUAAAUUCAAAAGGACAUGUUUUUGUUAAACAGGCG